UCUUCCCUACCUUUUUUUUUUGGUCCAUAGAAGUACCUUCACAGGUUCCAGGAAUUAGGGCAUGGAUAUACCACAACCUGCUUGAGGAUUUCCACUUUGUUCAGAUUUCUGACUCAUAAUCUUGGGCUUCUGAAUCUGGGAGGCGUUCGUUCGAUUGUGGCCGUGCUGAAGGGGACGCCAUUUCACAGACCCCAGGGGCAUGUUGAUAUAGUUUGGAGAAACAAACUGAAGGAGGCUGUAGAAGAUGGUGUAUCCCACUUUUGUCUGAGGCUGUGACGUGGCAACCGUGUGUUUCACUAUAUGGAACAAUCCACCUGCUCCCCUAGCGGAGAAUCCAGAGGGAAACCGAGAUCUUCUGAGUUGUUUUUUUCCAGGACAGAUUUUAGGAAAUUUGGCCGCCCUUUUUUUUAGGACUAAGACUUUCUUUUAAGGGAAGACUUUCAGGUGUAAGAUUUGCUUAUAGGACGUUGAGAAGGGAUUGCCCAAGUAUACUUGAACUUUGGGCCCUGAAAAAAAAAAUAGGCAUUAUGUUUUUCCAUGUUAAUUUCCAGCUUGUUGGUUGGACUCUGUAUUUUCCAUCCUGGUUCUGCCCUUGGGGUGCUGUCCGACGUCUCUGGCUCCAGGGCUUUCCCAGGUCUGAAAAAUGGGGCUUCUGGAUCUUCUCUGGUAUUUGCAGAUUCCAUUUCUGCCUCUGCACAGCAUCUGUGAACCCUUCGUCGACCACUUCCGCUGAAUAAAGCAGAGAGGGCACAUGAUCAGCUUAGAAUGGAAAUGGCUGAGUUUUGUUUUCAUUGAGUCCUAGCAAAUGCCAACAGCUUUGCACCAGAGAUUCCAUGGUGUCCUGAUGGGCAUAACUAGUUGAUUCCUGCCUGGAGAUGUUUGUACAACCUAACAGAUAUCGACAUGGCAUUUGUAACUCUUAAAAUGUCCAGGCUGGGCGAGAAGCAAGGGCGUUCACUGCCCUUUGGCUUCCGUGAGUCUCAGCAGCCAGGAAACCGUCUUUGAGACAACCCAGGAAGGGACAUGCCCACAUGCCCUCCGCGAGCCACCCCUCUGGGAGCUUUAGGCCCGAGGGCCAAGAAAUCCUGACCGUGAUCUGUUUGCUUUCCUGGGGCUGCAGCCCACAAGAAGCUGGUUGGGAGGCCUAGAAGGAGCGCAGCCGGUUCCUCCUGUCCUGGCUGCUCUGCUUGCUGCGGGUGGGUGUACCUUGUUUCUAGGUGCUUUUCAGUUAAGUUGCUCAGUUAACUGGUGGCUUUUGUUUUCAUAAAGAAGGUAGUGAGGGUGGAAAGAGCAGGAACCUGAGGCCAGCAAGGAGGGCUGGAACAAUAGCGAGAGAUGGGCAGGCCCUGCGCCCGCGGGACUCUGGUGGGAGGAACGAGGGGCAGGUGCGGCUUCUCCUCAGCCCCUCUCUGCUGCUCUUAUGGGCCCAGCCCUCUCCUCCCUGUGGGGUUCACCUCAGAAGGGUCUGCCUGGUAAUCAGAUGCAUAUUAACUCCCUAUUGCUAUGCAAUGAGUUACCACAAACAAGUGACCUAAAACAUAAAUUCACCAUCUUACAGUUCUGGAGGUCAGAAGUCCACAGUGGGUCUCAGUGGGCUAACAUCAAGGUGUCGGCAGGGCUGUGUUCCUCCUGGAGGCUCUGGGGGGAAUGGUUUCCUUGCCUUUUCCGGCGUGGAGAUACUCCCUGCAUUCCUUGGUUGGCGGCCCCAGUCCUUUAUCUUCAAAGCUAGCGUGGGUUGGGUGGUUACUGUGACGCCAUCUUUCUACUUCUCUCUCCAGUCUCCCUCUGCCCUUUCUAAGGACUCGUGGGAUUCUAUUGGCCCCACCUGGGUAAUCCGGGGUACUUUCCUUGGCUUUCAGCUAAUUAGCAAUUCCCGUUUGCUGUAUCACCCACCAUGCUCACUGGCUCUAGGAAUUAGGAUGUAGACCUCUUGGGUCCGGAGCCAUUAUUCUGCCUCCAACACCAGACAAACCAGGAGCCCCCAUCGCUCCUCUCACAAAGCAUCCUGUUCUUUUCAUGCAGGAUACUAAGCACAGGUGAAGGACUUUCCUUAGUGAUUUACUCUACCCUCGUCCUCUUUCCCCUCAGAUCUGUGCAGUCUACAAGGGCUGUGCGGUAUACAAAUGUAGGUCUGUUUUGUUCACCACCGUGUCCCAGCCCCCCACCACAUGGUGAGCUGUUAGACACUGGAGCCAGAUUGCCUGGCUUUGAAUCUCCAUUCUGUGUCUCACUAGCUGUGUGACUUGGGGCAAGAGACGAAAAUUCUUUGGGCCCUCCUUUCCUUCUCACCUGUAAAAUGGGGGUGAUGGGAAUAAGAGUGAGCAUUUAAUGAUGUAAUCUAUGUGAUGCUCUUAGAAUUUUACUUAGCAUGGAGUAAGUGGCUUGCAAGUGUCAAUGAUGAGGGUGGCCUGACCUAGGCUGGCGUCAGACUGAGGACCCUCCAGCAGAGUUCAUGGCCCAUGGAGCCCAUGCAUUGGUGGGAGAAAUAGAAAAGAAUCCAGUUACAGGCAAGAGAGUUGGCGAGCAGGAGUGGGCGCAAGGGGUGCCCAGCACGGAGGCAAGAGCCUGGAUUGUAGCCAGAUUCAGCCAGGGAGUCACUGUGUGAUCCGAGAAUGCCAUUUCCACUUUCUGGCCUUCACUCAACAUGUGGACCACGGGGAGAAUAUAUUCUGCACAAUUCUGAAAGGCAUGGCUAGGACCAGUGAAUGGGAGCCAGAAGGAUCCCUUUCCAGCCUUAUAUAAGGCUCUCCCCUUCUGCAGAAUUAGAAUGGAGGAUAGGCAAAUGGGCUGGUUGGGGAGGGGAGGGGCUGACAAAGGACUUGGUAGAGGGACUGAAGCAUGGGGGUGAGGAUUGGACCAGUGCUCCCCAAUGCCUCCCACGGCUUAGUGUCAGGCUCAGAGAGUGUUUGCUCAGAGAAUGAUUGGCCUUUGGUUUUAGUUCUUUUUUCCGCCUCGCUGGGAUUUCUGGUGGUCCUGUGGCUUGGGUACUUUGAAAAAUCCCUCCACACCUUUCAAAGCGCACCCUGGGCUCCCCGGAGACCACCUGUUGCUCGUUCCUGACUCUUUGCUGCCCUCUAGUGGCGUCCAGUCGCUCUGCCACACCAGGAACAGAACUGACUGGGGGGAACACCAGACUCAACCAGGGGGAAACAGCAGGUGGCUGGUCGGUUGGUUCAUUCUUCACACACUUCCUGCAAGUGCCAGUUCUAGGCUAGAUCUGGUAUUGCAGACACAGUCCCUGCCCUCAGGCAGCUCACGGAGCGGCUGGGGAGACAGAUAUAAGAAAUCAUCCCUGCAUGCUGUGUUAAGAGCUAAAAUGUAGGAAUGUGCCCAGGAAAUGUGAAGGAGGGGGCUGCUGAAUUUGUUGGGCCCAUGGGGCGAGGUGGGAGAAACCAGAGGAGGUCACUAGGGCGGAACCUUGAAAGGUGAGUUGGCAGUCUGAGAAAUUGGAGGGGUGGUGUUGGGUAAGAAGACCUAAGGACUAGAGAGCCUGGGCAUUCAGCCAGAGUUUUGGGGUGCAGACAGGGACAGGCAGGAAGGAUUGGCUGGGCUGAGUGAAGAAGGGCCUCUCCCAGCACCCAAACAUCAACCCCUGGAAACCUCAGGUGCCUUGAGGUUGUGCAACCAACCGCUGUGACCACCAGCAGGCUCUGCGCAGGCAGAUCGGGGUGUGAGUCUGGGUGAGGCAGCUGUGCCUUUGUGGAACGGAGGCUUAGGACUGGUCUGGGCAGCCCAGAGCUGGCUCCUGGGACCCCUGUGUUGAAGUGAUGCUGGGAUGGGGAGAAACCAGUACCCACAAUGAGCUUAACGAUCUCUUUGCUGAAUUGGGAAAAGAGGAGUAUUGUGAGGCAGUACUCCUGGGUGGCGCAGUCAGUGAAGCCUCCAACUUGGUCACAGCUCAGGUUUUGAUGUCAGGGUGGUGAGUUGAAGCCCCAUGCUGGGCUCCACACUAGGCAUGGAGCCUAUAAAAAAAAAAAAAAAAACUGCAAAAUCUAAGACUCAGAGACGGAAAACACACUGGAAGCAGGAAGGUCCUACUGAAAUUCAGAGAUCUGGGUGCUGAUUCCAGCUGCCAGAUACUCAUAGUGUGACCUUAGGACAUGGCCUUGGGGUUCUCUGCUCUCUCUUAAAACAGGAGACAGGAGGUGGAGAGAUUGGAUACAAUGUUCCCUAAGGGGGUGUCUGGUCCUGCUUUUCUAGGACUUCUAAGCCUGUGACACCUCUGCCUUCUGGUAUCACCUCCCAGGUUGACUGGAAGGUUCCCUGAGCCCUGCCACGUCUGUGUUAAGUGAGCAGCAAAUACUUCUACGUUUCCUUCAGGUCUGGGUCUGUGAUGUGAUAGGGCAAUGGCCCUGGGCUGUCCUGUGUGCUUUGGUAAUGACUUCCCAGAGGUAGAGCUGAAGGCAGGGGGUCCUCAGGAUAUGUUCAUCCUGUAUACCCACUGCCAAGUCUCUACACCACUGUGCUGGCAAAGACUAGCCUUCAGAGCCUCUGCACCCGGAGUAGGUUCUUACAGACUUUAGACUCUAGAAUUUUAGGACAAAUUUUAGAAGCAGCAAAAGUCACCAUGAUUGGUCCCAUCUAAAUUUUAUUCUUAAAAAUAUAUUUAUUUAUUAUAGGAGAAAAAGAGUGAGAGAAAGAGAGCACCGGGGUGGGUGCCUGCACACGAGCGGGGGGAAGGGCAGAGGGAGACACUCUCAAGCAGACUCCCUGCUAAGCACGAAGCCCGAUGACGAUGAUUUGGGCCUUGAACCCAGGACCCAUGAGCUAAAACCGAGUCAGGCGCUCAGCUUGAGCCACCCAGGUAUUCCGAGUUUUCAGUUAGCGAGAACUGGGUCUCGGACAAACUGCCACCUGCAAAGCCAAGUUCAAUCUAGUUUUAGGGAACCUGAGGGGAGGAGACCUUUCUCACACAGCCAUGGCAGGUGCAGGUGGCAAGCAGGGUCCUAGCCGGGGAGGCCUGCCCUGCCCAGAGCCAGGAGCUCACUGGCUGCCCAGGAAGUAUCCAGUACCAGGGAGCUUGGAGCAGGAGCUGAAGACGUCUGUCGUCCCCUCCGGGCUUCUCUGUGUCUGCCUGUCCCCAUCUCCACUCCCUCCGAUGGCAGUUACUGAGCACCAGUCACAAGUGAGGGAGACCGUGUGUCUGGGUUCCUGACUUUUCAUUUCCCCCUGAUGUGCCUCUGCGAGUGGUAUUU